GAUGAACGCUGGCGGCGUGCCUAAUACAUGCAAGUCGAACGCAUUGAGAGAAGUGCUUGCACUUUUCAAUUUGAGUGGCGAACGGGUGAGUAACACGUGGGCAACCUACCUGAUAGCGGGGGAUAACGAGUGGAAACAUUCGCUAAUACCGCAUAACAGUAGAGAAGGCAUCUUCUUUAUUUAAAAGGCGCUUUCAAGCUGCACUAUCAGAUGGGCCCGCGGUGCAUUAGUUAGUUGGUGGGGUGAAGGCCUACCAAGACGAUGAUGCAUAGCCGAGUUGAGAGACUGAUCGGCCACAUUGGGACUGAGACACGGCCCAAACUCCUACGGGAGGCUGCAGUAGGGAAUCUUCCACAAUGGACGAAAGUCUGAUGGAGCAACGCCGCGUGUGUGAUGAAGGCUUUCGGGUCGUAAAGCACUGUUGUAUGGGAAGAAAUGCUAGGCUAGGAAAUGAGCUUAGUUUGACGGUACCAUACCAGAAAGGGACGGCUAAAUACGUGCCAGCAGCCGCAGUAA
rnacentral:rRNA from 1 species